rnacentral:tRNA from 1 species
CCCUGGCGGCUCAGUCGGUAAAGAAUCUGCCUGCAGUGUAGGAGACCCGGGUUCGAUUCCUGGGUCAGGAA